rnacentral:rRNA from 1 species
UACGGGGGGAGCAAGCGUUGUUCGGAUUUACUGGGCGUAAAGGGCGCGUAGGCGGCCACCGCAAGUCAAUUGUGAAAUCUCCGGGCUUAACUCGGAAAGGUCAACUGAUACUGCGGGGCUAGAGUGCGGAAGGGGCAACUGGAAUUCUCGGUGUAGCGGUGAAAUGCGUAGAUAUCUGGAGGAAUACCGGUGGCGAAGGCGGCAUCCUGGACCGAGAUUGACACUGAUGAGCGAAAGCUAGGGGAGCAAACGGG